rnacentral:rRNA from 1 species
ACUCAAUAGAUACCCGGGUAGUCCACGCCGUAAACGAUGAAUGCCCAGCCGUUAGUGGGUUUACUCACUAGUGGCGCAGCUAAACGCUUUAAGCAUUCCGCCUGGGGAGUACGGUCGCAAGAUUAAAACUCAAAGGAAUUGACGGGGCCCGGCACAAGCGGUGGAGCAUGUGGUUUAAAUUACGACGCAACGCGCAGAACCUUACCAGCCCUUCGACAUGUCCAGGACCGGUCGCAGAGAUGUGACCCUCUCUUCGGAGCCUGGAACACAGGUGCUGCAUGGCUGUCGUCAGCUCGUGUCGUGAGAUGUUGGGUUAAAGUUCCCGCAACGAGCGCAACCCCGUCCUUAGUUGCUACCAUUUAGUUGUAGCACUCUAAGGAGACUGCCGGUGAUAAGCCGCGAGGAA